rnacentral:rRNA from 1 species
AACGUAGGGGACAAGCGUUAUCCGGAUUUACUGGGCGUAAAGAGCCCGUAGGCGGUCUUUUAAGUUGGACGUGAAAGCUCCCGGCUUAACUGGGAGAGGCCGUUCAAAACUGAGAGGCUAGAGUGAGGCAGAGGAGCGCGGAAUUCCCGGUGUAGUGGUGGAAUGCGUAGAUAUCGGGAGGAACACCAGUGGCGAAAGCGGCGCUCUGGGCCUAAACUGACGCUGAGGGGCGAAAGCGUGGGGAGCGAACGGG